AACAAACGCUGGCGGCAUGCCUAACACAUGCAAGUCGAACGAGACCUUCGGGUCUAGUGGCGCACGGGUGCGUAACGCGUGGGAACCUGCCCUUAGGUUCGGAAUAACUCCCCGAAAGGGGUGCUAAUACCGGAUAAUGUCUUCGGACCAAAGAUUUAUCGCCUUUGGAUGGGCCCGCGUUGGAUUAGCUAGUUGGUAGGGUAAAAGCCUACCAAGGCGACGAUCCAUAGCUGGUCUGAGAGGAUGAUCAGCCACACUGGGACUGAGACACGGCCCAGACUCCUACGGGAGGCAGCAGUGGGGAAUAUUGGACAAUGGGCGAAAGCCUGAUCCAGCAAUGCCGCGUGAGUGAAGAAGGCCUUAGGGUUGUAAAGCUCUUUUACCCGGGAUGAUAAUGACAGUACCGGGAGAAUAAGCUCCGGCUAACUCCGUG
rnacentral:rRNA from 1 species